rnacentral:rRNA from 1 species
AUUGAACGCUGGCGGCAGGCCUAACACAUGCAAGUCGAACGGUAACAGGAAGAAGCUUGCUUCUUUGCUGACGAGUGGCGGACGGGUGAGUAAUGUCUGUGAAACUGCCUGAUGGAGGGGGAUAACUACUGGAAACGGUAGCUAAUACCGCAUAACGUCGCAAGACCAAAGAGGGGGACCUUCGGGCCUCUUGCCAUCGGAUGUGCCCAGAUGGGAUUAGCUAGUAGGUGGGGUAACGGCUCACCUAGGCGACGAUCCCUAGCUGGUCUGAGAGGAUGACCAGCCACACUGGAACUGAGACACGGUCCAGACUCCUACGGGAGGCAGCAGUGGGGAAUAUUGCACAAUGGGCGCAAGCCUGAUGCAGCCAUGCCGCGUGUAUGAAGAAGGCCUUCGGGUUGUAAAGUACUUUUAGCGGGGAGGAAGGGAGUAAAGUUAAUACCUUGGCUCAUUGACGUUACCCGAAGAAGAAGCACCGGCUAACUCCGUG